rnacentral:lncRNA from 1 species
UUUUGGUUGGUGAAAACAUUGUUGUUAAUGAUAACAAUAGUAACAUCUCUGAUAUGGUUUGGCAAGACCUGCAACAUCUAAAUACUAAUUGGGAUGAUCUUGUUGAGGUUGAAAUUAGAAUGACGAAGGUGUAUUUGAGGUGGUGUUGUCCAAACAUCAAAAAAGAAACAAACAAACGAAGAAACAAGGUGCCAAGGUUGA